GACAGAGGUGCCAAGCGUUAGGCGGAAUCACUGGGCUUAAAGAGUGCGUAGGCGGCUUGACAAGUUGCAUCUAAAAGGCGACAGCUCAACUGACGAGUGCGGUGCAAGACUGUAAAGCUUGAGGCAAGCAAAAGAAUGUGGAACUCCGAGUGUAGCGGUGGAAUGCGUAGAGAUUCGGAAGAACACCCAUGGCGAAGGCAGCAUUCUGGGCUUGACCUGACGCUGAGGCACGAAAGCCAGGGGAGCGAACGGG
rnacentral:rRNA from 1 species